GCCCAGGUGGCGGAAUUGGUAGACGCGUUGGUCUCAAACACCAAUGGAGUAAUCCGUGCCGGUUCGAGCCCGGCUCUGGGUACCA
rnacentral:tRNA from 1 species